AUUGAACGCUGGCGGCAUGCCUUACACAUGCAAGUCGAACGGCAGCACGGACUUCGGUCUGGUGGCGAGUGGCGAACGGGUGAGUAAUGUAUCGGAACGUACCUUUCAGUGGGGGAUAACGUAGCGAAAGGUACGCUAAUACCGCAUAUUCUGUGAGCAGGAAAGAAGGGGAUGGAAAGAGAUUGUGGGUAGGGUGGGUACGAUAUCAGAUUAGCUAGUUGGUGGGGUAAAGGCCUACCAAGGCGACGAUCUGUAGCGGGUCUGAGAGGAUGAUCCGCCACACUGGAACUGAGACACGGUCCAGACUCCUACGGGAGGCAGCAGUGGCGAAUUUUCUACACUUGUCUCAACCCUUAUCCAACCAUUCCACGUCAGUUAAGAAGGCCUUCGGGUUGUAAAGCUCUUUCGGCCGGGAAGAAAUCGAAUAUCCUAAUACCCUAUUUUUAUAACAUUCCCCUAAUAAUAAUCACCGGCUAACUACUUG
rnacentral:rRNA from 1 species